GACGAACGCUGGCGGCGUGCCUAAUACAUGCAAGUAGAACGCUGAAGAGAGGAGCUUGCUCUUCUUGGAUGAGUUGCGAACGGGUGAGUAACGCGUAGGUAACCUGCCUUGUAGCGGGGGAUAACUAUUGGAAACGAUAGCUAAUACCGCAUAACAAUGGAUGACACAUGUCAUUUAUUUGAAAGGGGCAAUUGCUCCACUACAAGAUGGACCUGCGUUGUAUUAGCUAGUAGGUGAGGUAAUGGCUCACCUAGGCGACGAUACAUAGCCGACCUGAGAGGGUGAUCGGCCACGCUGGGACUGAGACACGGCCCAGACUCCUACGGGAGGCAGCAGUAGGGAAUCUUCGGCAAUGGGGGCAACCCUGACCGAGCAACGCCGCGUGAGUGAAGAAGGUUUUCGGAUCGUAAAGCUCGGUUGUAAGUCAAGAACGGGUGUGAGAGUGGAAAGUUCACACUGUGACGGUAGCUUACCAGAAAGAGACGGCUAACUACGUG
rnacentral:rRNA from 1 species